GCGCCAGCACCGCCGACGCCAUGUUUGCCGUACAGUCGCUUCCGGUCUCACAAAGGUUCUGCUUCCGCUAUCGGGGGCUUUACUUCCGGGUCCUGCGUGGCAACUCAAAGAGAAGCGGGAGAAGUUGCAGAGAAUUCAUUUGGUAGCACGUAUUAAUGGCUCUAAAGAAGUCAUCGCUCUCCCUGGACUCUUCCAGUGAUGCUGAGGAGUUGCCAGUAUUUACCUUUCUGAAGAAGGAACCAUGUUCAACAAAGAGGAGGCAGCCUCAGAGGGAGGAGAGGAUCGUAGUGGUUCACACCUCAGAUUCUGAGGCCUCCUGUCCUCCAUCACCAAGGUGGAAAGAUCCACCGCCCGUCCCAGACACAGCUGAACCCAUCACACAAAUACAGCCAGUCAGGGUGCUGAGCAGUGGAAGUGAGGAUGAGGAGGAACUUAUUCCCCUGGCUGAGAGACUGACAUGUAAGUUUUUGACCCACAAGCAGCUGAGCCCUGAGGAUUCUAACUCCCCAGGUAAAAGCGUUUUGGAUCAUCAGAAUAAUGAAGGAGCAUCACAUGACUGGAAAAAACAGCCCUUUCCAAAGAUCUGUGAUGUUCCCCUCCAAGACACCUCAGAAAAGUGUACAUCGAAUAACAAGGACUCUACGAUAGACAGUCCAUGCCAUCAGGUUCCAGCCCACCAAGCUACCUGCCCUCCCCGGAGCGUCAGCUCGUCAGUCACCAAAACAAAUGCCGAGGCCCUCCCACCUCAGAAGAGAACCAAGCACAGUCAGAAGGUCCAGAGGAGAGGCUCACAGGGACAAGCAAGCCGGAAGGAAAGCACCCUGAGACAACCACAGAGAGAAAAAAAGGCAGCACUGGCUAACAGACCAAAAGCCCGGAGGCCAGAGGAGUGCUUAAAGCACAUCGCUGUGGCGCUGGAUCCAGUGCUUUUACAGAUGGAAGGCGGCGGCCAGCUCCUCGGAGCACUGCAGUCCAUGGAGUGCUGCUGUGUGAUUGAGGCGCAGGCCGUGCCCCGCAGCAUCGCCUGGAGGAGGAGGGCCGGGCCGGCUGUGGAUGGAGAGGAGGCCUGGGUGGAGGAGCCGAUGGUCCUGGUGCUGCUCCCGGCAGAGGCGUUUGUGUCCAUGAUCCACAACUUCAAGCAGGGAGGUCCAGGCAGCACCGAGAAAGGGAAGGAAACACUCCGGAGCUUUGUAGCAGACAUCACGGCAAGGACAGCGGGAAAGGCUCUGUCACUGGUGAUUGUGGAUCAGGAGAAAUGCUUCAGUGCUCCAAAUCCUCCAAGGAGAAGGAAGCCGGGCGUGGCAAACGGAGAACAGGCCAAGGAGAAGAGGAAGAAGCAGAGACCCCCAGAGGCCAGCACAGGGCCCGUGGUGUCCAGGGUAGACAUGGAGGCGGCACUGGUGGAUCUGCAGCUACACACACACGCCCAGGCCCGAGUUGUGCAGAGCUGGCAAGAGCUGGCCGACUUCGCGUGCUCGUUCACGAAGGCUGUGGCUGAGGCGCCCUUCAAGAGACUCCGAGAUCAAACUAAUUUCUCCUUCUGCCUGGAGAGCGACUGGGCUGGAGGGGCGAAGGUGGACCGUGCUGGCAGGGGCCUUGCUCAGGUCUGGCGGAGGCAGAUUCAGCAGCUGAACCGAGUCAGCCUGGAAAUGGCCAGCGCUGUUGUGGCCGCCUAUCCCUCCCCACAGCUCCUGGUCCAGGCUUAUAGGCGGUGUUUUUCGGAGCAAGAACGCCAGAAUCUGCUUGCAGACAUACAGGUGCGCCGUGGGGAAGGCGUGACAUCUACCUCCCGCCGUGUUGGACCAGAUCUGUCCAGGCGCAUCUACCUUCAGAUGACCGCGUUGCAGCCAGAUCUCUCUUUAGACAGUGCAGACUGAAGCUAGCCCCAAGGGACAGGAUGAAAAGCUGGAGAUUUCUGCCUCAGGACAUGACCAAUGCAGAGAGGGAGGUGUCGCCUGGAGCACAAGCCUGGGUCAGGGCCACAACAGAUCCUGGGUGCCAUUGUGAAAGUCUCCCUACCUGUCAACUGGCUGAGAUAUUUGCAUUUAUCUUCACCAGCAUUCAGUGUUCCUCUCCUGGCAAAAACCAAGUGCCAUGCAUGAGCCACCCCUGCCCCAGCCAGCCCUCAAAAUACAAAGGAACACAGACAGACCAUUCAGACACAUAUUUAAUAGUUGCAGAAAUCCAAAAGAACCUCAACAUCAAGUCUUGAGAUCAUGAGUGAAGUGCCCUCAGUGGGUUGGCUUUCUAGGCUGGGCGUCCAGCCCUGUUGGCCCACUGAGGCUGCCUCAACCAGCCAGGGAACGGGUCUGAUCCCUAUGCCCACUUCUGUAUUCUCUCCGUCUUAUAUGUACUAUGUGUUUAGUUUCAAUAAAGCAUUUGUACCAGUGGCUCUGGAGCUCGGAGGAAGACUAAAGGAAUGUGUAGUGAUCCAGAGUAAGGGGUGGGCCUGUACAGCAGAGCUAUCCUUGGGGGAGAAAAGUCAUUUCUUUCAGGAUCAGGACAAUCACAACUGGCAAACCUAUCCAGUGGACCACUAAGCCUAAAAAGCUGGAGCCUGUCCUCUUCAUCUCUGAACCUGAACACCUUCUUGCUGUCCUCGGCGAGGGGCAAGGAACUUGCAGUCGGGAGUUUCAGUGAGUGGGCACCAUGACAUGGCCAUUCCUGAUCCCUUCAUCCAGCUGUUGUCAAAGAUGAAGCAGAGGAGGCCACUGAGCAAGAAAACACUCUGGCCAACAAGAGAGUGACAGCCCUGCCCUUCAUUGCACAAGUCAUUAGCAUUCCUGACCACCUUUAAAUGCCUCGAUGCUCCUGGAUCCCCUCACUGCCCAGGGAACCCUGACUCAGGAACAAAGAAGUCCUACAAAGAGGAGGUCUCAAGUACCAAUCAGCAGCCAUUUAAUGACGGCAGGUAGGUCUGACGCUAAAAAGAGGUUGUGUCCAGCAGAACCCAAUUCCAUAGGAAUCCAAGUCCCAGGGCUGAGAGGCAGCAGGUGUUGAGGACACGCUCAUUGCUGGGGGUCGGUCUGCAGGACCCACUGGAGGAUGUGGUGGCUGCGCAGACCCCGGAUCGCAUUGUCGUAGAUGGUGUUCACGCUGGUGCAGAGGGGCUGCUGCUGCAGCUCCGUCACCCGGCACACCACCAGCCCGCCCGCCACGCACAGCAGCAGCAGCAGCAGCAGCUUCAGCACCGCCCAGGACCGGGUGUGCUUCCGGGCUGGCUGCUUACGGGACCGAGAGCCGGACUUGGAUUCUGGAGUGACAAAGGCACAGGAGACAAAGUUCAGUCAGUUUGAGGAGACCCACACUCUCCACCAUUCAAUGCUGUUCUCUUCCAUGCAGAUCCACGAACACCCCCCUUAGGCAUGAAUAUUGUUUUAAGAACAUCUGAGCUCUUAAAAACUUGCUAUGUGCAGACUGAAAUAUAAGCUGCCUUCUCCUUGGAUUCAAGGGAAGACAUUCAACACUGGAA